AUUGAACGCUGGCGGCAGGCCUAACACAUGCAAGUCGAGCGAGCGGCGGACGGGUGAGUAAUGUCUGGGAAACUGCCUGAUGGAGGGGGAUAACUACUGGAAACGGUAGCUAAUACCGCAUACCAUCAGAUGUGCCCAGAUGGGCUUAGCUAGUAGGUGGGGUAAUGGCUCACCUAGGCGACGAUCCCUGGCUGGUCUGAGAGGAUGACCAGCCACACUGAAACGGAGACACGUGCCAGACUCCGACGGGAGGCAUCAGUGGGGAAUAUUGCAGAAGGGGCGCAAGCCUGAUGCAGCCAUCCCGCGUGUGUGAAGAAGGCCUUCGGGUUGUAAAGCACUUUCAGCGGGGAGGCGUUACCCGCAGAAGAAGCACCGGCUAACUCCGUGCCAGCAGCCGCGGUAAUUC
rnacentral:rRNA from 1 species